UACGUAGGGUGCGAGCGUUGUCCGGAAUUAUUGGGCGUAAAGGGCUCGUAGGCGGUUUGUCGCGUCGGGAGUGAAAACCAUGAGCUUAACUCAUGGCUUGCUUUCGAUACGGGCAGACUAGAGGUAUGCAGGGGAGAACGGAAUUCCUGGUGUAGCGGUGAAAUGCGCAGAUAUCAGGAGGAACACCGGUGACGAAGGCGGUUCUCUGGGCAUUACCUGACGCUGAGGAGCGAAAGUGUGGGGAGCGAACAGG
rnacentral:rRNA from 1 species